rnacentral:rRNA from 1 species
UACGGGGGGGGCAAGCGUUGUUCGGAAUUACUGGGCGUAAAGGGCUCGUAGGCGGCCAACUAAGUCAGACGUGAAAUCCCUCGGCUUAACCGGGGAACUGCAUCUGAUACUGGAUGGCUUGAAUCCGGGAGAGGGAUGCGGAAUUCCAGGUGUAGCGGUGAAAUGCGUAGAUAUCUGGAGGAACACCGGUGGCGAAGGCGGCAUCCUGGACCGGCAUUGACGCUGAGGAGCGAAAGCCAGGGGAGCAAACGGG